UAAAUGACAGAGUUGAGCAGCACAUUAAGCACCUCAUUCUCCAAGGAAAAUUUGAAUAAAAUAAGAGCAUCAACUCUGCAGCACAGACAAAAUGCCAGGAACAAAAGGCAAAGGUAACAAAUCGGACAAGAAGUCAAGCACCAAGCAACCUCAGAGUCCUAAAGAGCAGCCGAAGAAAAGUGAUCAGAAAGGAGACGAUAACCAGAAGCAAGGAGGACAGCCGAAGGGAGAGAAGCAGUAACUUCCAGGCAUUCGUGAAGAUGGCUUUGGAGACGCUGCUGGGAUCCUGUCGUCAUAAACGAGGCGGUUCUCGGGGAAAACAGGGCUGACCACUCCUUACCCGCCCUUGAAGCCACAAUGUGUGGCCCAGCAAUAACGUUCUUCCACAGAGGCUGACAGUAAACCUGAUCUCCAUCCAUCAUCUUCUGUUGUCCCCCUCUUGUUUCUCUCCAUUUCGCUGCCCGGCCCACCCUUGUCCACUCUGUCAGACGGGACGCUUCACUCCAGGUUAGAGGAGAGCUCAGCUCUAAGUGAAGCAAUCCCUCCCAACCUCGUAAUCACAGCUGUCUAACAGCAAAAAAAAGACUUUUGUACAUAAUUAUUCAAAUAAAAAGCUAUUUAUCACA